rnacentral:rRNA from 1 species
UCAGGCCUAACACAUGCAAGUCGAACGGUAACUUUUGGUGCUUGCACCGAAAGACGAGUGGCGAACGGGUGCGUAACGCGUAUGCAAUCUACCUUUUACUAGGGUAUAGCCCAGAGAAAUUUGGAUUAAUCCCCUAUAAUAUCAUUUAAUCGCGUGAUUUUAUGAUUAAAGCUUCGGCGGUGAAAGAUGAGCAUGCGUCCUAUUAGUUAGUAGGUGAGGUAACGGCUCACCUAGGCUUCGAUAGGUAGGGGUCCUGAGAGGGAGAUCCCCCACACUGGUACUGAGACACGGACCAGACUCCUACGGGAGGCAGCAGUGAGGAAUAUUGGACAAUGGACGAAAGUCUGAUCCAGCUAUGCCGCGUGCAGGAUGACGGCCCUAUGGGUUGUAAACUGCUUUUAUACAGGAAGAAAAACUCCGACGUGUCGGAACUUGACGGUACUGUAAGAAUAAGGAUCGGCUAACUCCGUGCCAGCAGCCGCGGUAAUACGGAGGAUCCAAGCGUUAUCCGGAAUCAUUGGGUUUAAAGGGUCCGUAGGCGGUUUUUUAAGUCAGAGGUGAAAUCCUGCAGCUCAACCGUAGAAUUGCCUUUGAUACUGAAAGACUUGAGUUAUUGUGAAGUGGUUAGAAUGUGUGGUGUAGCGGUGAAAUGCAUAGAUAUCACACAGAAUACCAAUUGCGAAGGCAGAUCACUAACAAU